GAUGACACUCUGAUCUUUUGAGUUUAAUCUUUUUUGAAUCUUUCUGAAUCUUUUUGAAUCUUUCUGAAUCAGUCAAAUUUUGACCAAAAAAAAUCAGAGAACUUUAGCUUCAGUGUUUUUGCGCAACCUGUCAAGUUAUCCCGCCAAAACGAAGACUGCGUGUUGGGGUCUUUUUUCGUGAAAAGAAAGUUUGCAAAACGGUGUCACUCGGCGAACUACCGGAGAAACCGCUGGAUUGGGUGUGACGGAACUAAAUCGGGACAUAUUGAUUUCUCGAUUAUGGGCUGUGCUGGGAGUGUUCCGGAUUAGAUCCUGAUGGGUGAAGCAAGGUCUCUCUAAUGUGAAACAAACCUACCGUAAUCAAAUGGGUUACAAGUUCAAUUCUGAGUGCCAGGAUUUGCGGUACAGGAUCUAUACGAUCCCAUCGGUACCGGUCGUUGAUUUCUUCCAGAUAAACAAAUCGUCAGCAAGUGAAGAGCUGCUUACAGAUGGCCUCUGUGAACGAUAGUCGGUCGAAAUUGUCCGAGCCCACCGAGCCUCUUCGAGGAAAUGACGGCUGAGUUCUACGCACUUAGGGUUGCUACUGGCUUAGACCGGUUCCUUCUACUUCUCUGAAGAAGCCAACAAAGCAUUCAGCCAAGGUGUUGCGACGAAGACAAUCACUUUUUGAAGCUCUGGACAUUAAGUACGUGGUUGGAGUGUCACCGAUCUAGUGGGUACCGUGGAUUCCUCAACUGCUAUGCUGUCUGGUGCAGUACGCAGUAACCAUUAUUUUUAACUCGCUGAGUAAAGUGGAACGGAUGUUCCCGCAAGCAAGACUGAGGUCAUGCUCAAACAGGAACAGAACCAACCUGAGACGAAACAACUAGCUCUUUACACUUCAUGCGGCUGACAGCUGGUGGGGGCUAUAGCGGGCUAUAGCGACCAUGUGGGGUGCCCCAAGAUGAUGCAUCUGCAGUGUGACAUUCAUCUGACUGUACCGAGCUCUCUAGAAGGAAUCGUUCACCAAAUGGGUUAAUUCCUCGAAAAUCGGUGCGGAGGCUCAACGUCAGCUGCGUCAUGAUUUGGUCAAGUGCUGCGCCACUGUUUACGAGGCAAUCAGGCAACAAUAACUCAGCACACUAUCAAUUUCGUUAAAAAGCUGGUGUCCGCAUUCGGCAUAGUAAUCGAAACCAUUUCAUUUUCCGUAUCGUCAAUUUUUUCAUCGUCAUUGGACCAGGCCCAGGCAACGGUUCAGGAUUCGGUGUUCCAGAAAGUAAAGGGUCAAUUCACCAGCAAUUUCGAUUUUCCUCAACCGAGCGCAACGAAGCUGCAUAAUGUGAUUAACAAGCUAAAAUUUUCAAGAUUCUGGAAUAGAAAACCAAGUAAAUACCCAAGUAAGUGCUAUUCAAUUUGUAUUCUUAUCAGUUUUAAAGCCAGCAUUCUCUGUACGUCAAUUUCACCCUAUCAGAUUUAUUUGUUCUACAUUGCAUUAUAAGCGUUCUUUAUCCUUGGUAAUACCCGGAGCUGGCCACGCCGAAUCUGUGGCGAACACCAAUUUUGCAGUGUUACAGUCCGGCUUUCACGACAUGCCCUGCACACCGUAUUUUUUCGGCUUCGAUGAUCUACGAAGUUCUCGCAUUCCAAAUGUUUGCACAUCACACUUUUCUUGUACUUCCAUGCCCGUUCGGUUUCCCAGAUCCUAUCUAUAACGCGCAGUAGACUGGUGGCUCUACUGGGCGAUGAAUUCAGCUGUGAUCAAGGUUGCAAUACCAUCCUUACCAGUUGCUUUGGUUUGAGUUGGCGGGUGGUAUCCUUCCCUCAGUGUGGGAGAGAGUUCAUUCCCGUCCUCUGCUGCACUGCACUAACAUAGUCAUUCCCUCUGUUGCCUUGGUUACCCGCUUCAACGUUCUUCGUUUGCUUUACCUAUUUACUCCAACAGUUCCAUUUAUCCAAUGGUACUCUCAGCUACACUAUGGUGCAUAAUAGAUGGACAAACGCCGAUUUUC